CUACGGGCUGCUCCAGUGGGGAAUAUUGCACAAUGGGCGCAAGCCUGAUGCAGCCAUGCCGCGUGUAUGAAGAAGGCCUUCGGGUUGUAAAGUACUUUCAGCGGGGAGGAAGGGAGUAAAGUUAAUACCUUUGCUCAUUGACGUUACCCGCAGAAGAAGCACCGGCUAAGUCCGUGGCCAGCAGCCGCGGUAAUACGGAGGGUGCAAGCGUUAAUCGGAAUUACUGGGCGUAAAGCGCACGCAGGCGGUUUGUUAAGUCAGAUGUGAAAUCCCCGGGCUCAACCUGGGAACUGCAUCUGAUACUGGCAAGCUUGAGUCUCGUAGAGGGGGGUAGAAUUCCAGGUGUAGCGGUGAAAUGCGUAGAGAUCUGGAGGAAUACCGGUGGCGAAGGCGGCCCCCUGGACGAAGACUGACGCUCAGGUGCGAAAGCGUGGGGAGCAAACAGGAUUAGAUACCCUCGUAGUC
rnacentral:rRNA from 1 species